CAAAAUCAGUCCAGACCAUCUACCUUUAAAAACGACAGCUCCGAGCCUGGCCUCAGUUCUUCGGCUACCCUAAUGCACACGCGCACACCCAAAGCCAGCAACAUUUUGGGAUUCUGUGCAGCUCCAUUCCCCGCUGACUCGGAAAGAGGCCUUUCUCUGAGUUCAACGGGACUUACUUCCAGGAGAAGCUACCACCACCAUCUGCCCCUUCCCUUCCUCUGACUGGUGACUACUGUGCUGUGUUUGCUUGGGCACAUGGGCCACUGUUGCUGCCUUCUGAGUAUCAGAGAGAGAAGAAGGGAGAGAGACAAGCCAUCCUUUCCACCUGUGGAAAGGGGAAGAAGGGGUGAGGUGAAGUAUGGCUACUGCCACUUCCUUGUGGGAGGAGAGGUUGCAAGAGAAGCUGCUGCCCUGUUGUGACCUCUUCACACGGACCUGGACCGUUGGCACCUACUCAACAACACAACCCCAAUGCCUGCCCUAGUCGGUAUAUACUGACAGCCGUACUGAUGUGUGGCUCUCAUGUAAUAGAAAUCCCCUUCCUCUGACUUUGUCCCUCCAAGCCAUCAUUUCUAGGCACAGGAGACAGCCAUUCCAGUAAGCAGCAUUUCCCAGCAUGCGGAUCCUAACCUCCAAGUGCUGCACAACAUGUGGCACUGAAUCCCCGGCCUUUGCAAUUUUAUUCUUGUGCAUGCUCUGUUCUUUGGGGGGAAGGGGGGAUCUCUAUACCAAGGAAAUGUAGACUUAUGAGUCACCAUACCCAAAAGGGCUGGAAACCACUACCAUCAAGCAAUACUUAACAGACUCAGAAACUGUUGUCAACAGUGAUGCUGCCAAGGGGAAAUGGCAGGGCUCAAUAGGAACUGGACAGGCAAGCGCCAGCUGCUAUGAAAACUGAGAGGGUAAAAAAAAAAAGCAAGCUUACUCAGGAGCAAAUUAUCAUGAAAUUAACACAGUUUCAGCCAAGGGAAGCACGUUUUAGCCCUGGGUUUUCCUUUGCAACUAUGAACAGUGUCAUUUUCAGUGUAUGGUGUUGAAAAGAUUUUGGUGUGCACGUGCAACUUUUUUUUUUUAAUGAUGAGUUUUCUAAUAAAAAACAAUUUGGGGGCUGGGCGUAAGAGCUACUUCAUGGGAAACUUGAAGAAAAGAAUAUGUGUGCAGUAAGUGGAAGUUUCUUUUUUAAGCAGUUACCAUGACAACUCCCCUGUCAGUGCUUGGCCACAGGCAACAGACCACACAGGAGCUAAAGCAGAAGUCCUGACAGAAUUGGGACCAAAGCCACAUGGAGUACAGGGACAGAUCCACUGGAAGUUCAUAGUAGGGGAAGGAUCAGAAUCAAAACCUUGGUCUAAGAAGAGAGCUGUCAUGAUCCUUUCUAACAAGCCCAGUGAUUUAGACUCAGAGUCUUCAGAAGAAGCAGAGGAACCAAGGCCAGAGGUGGAGACGGACCAAGGGGGGUUGGAAAGGGCCAGCAUUUAAGAUACCUGCUGACCAUGGUCUAGAAGCACCAAAGGCCUGAGCCUUCCUGAGCCUGCAAGGGGGGCUUUGCUACAGCCCCUGAAAUAGCCGUCAGACCUCUGCUGGGCAAGAUGCAAACCUGGGCCCAUAGCCUCUCAGAACCGUUCUAACUUUGCAGGAGCAGCAGCAGCAGAAGACCCAGACUGAGAGGGCAGAAAGAAGGUAAAGCACCAGGCCACCUGCUUGCAACUCCUCUGUGAAUAUAGAGCAGUACUCUAUAAAACUUCUUUGCAUGAUGCUGACCAGAACACAGCACAGCAACUGGAGCUCUAGCACCUGCUAGCAGUGCUAUUAAACCAAUUACCACUUAAGCUGGCUAGGACUGUCUUGUAGAAUCAACUGCUCCAAGCCUAGCAUCCUUGCAAAGGCAACCUGACUGCAGGAAGCAAAAUAGAAGAUUAAUCGGAGGCUAGGCAAAUGGAUCAGAAGGGAAGGAAAGAGGGGGUGAGCCACUCAGGUGGAGGCCUGCCUGCUGAUCAGGCAAAACCCCUGAGGUUAAAGGCUGACAUGGUAUCUUUUGAGGGGAGGUGGCACAAUGGGACUCCAUCCUAUUGCAGAAGUGAGCAGAGCAAGGCUACUGUUUCUCUGCUGUUCUUUAAGUUUGCGGGCUGCUCAGCCAGGAGGGAGAGGGCAGGCUCUUCCUGAUUACUUUUUGCUUAUUUGUCCAAGGAAAGGAUAAGUAGCAACCACGCAUGUUGCCUACUUUUUCCUGUGGCUGUUGUGCUCUGUCAGCUGGGUGAAUCAACAGUAUGCAGUGGCAGGCUGCUGGACCUCUGGCUUCCAUCCAUCGACUCAUCUACACCUUCCAUCCAUCGACUCAUCUAUCGAUCUAUUGAUCUAUCUAUUUAUCCCAAUUCUUAUCCUGCUGUUCCUCCAUAGAGCUUCAGGCAACAUAUACAAUUUUAUUCAUACAACUACCCUGUGAGGUGGCUGACAGCAUGCGGCUGGCAAUGGUUGAUUCUGCAUAGCAUAAUAACAGGUUACAUCCACUAUUUUUAAAUUUAGAUCUAUUUUAUUCCCUUUUAUUUUUGCCCUUUGCAUGGGUACCCGUUUUCCGUGAAGGAAACAAUCUGUUUUCUUUCUCCUCCUUCACAACCUGCUAUUUUGUUUACAAUGCAAAUGCGCAGGCGCAAGCAUCCCAUUUUUUCUGCAUUCUGAUUGGCUGCUCCAUCACCACAGUCCCCCUUCCACCUGCUACCACCCUCCUCAGAAUGAAACUGACAUGACGUAAGGCAGGAGAUCAGGUGGUGGGGCAGGAAAAAUAAAGCCGUUGAGCUCUUGUGCCAUUCCCACGGAAGCGGGUUCAACCCAGGAUUUUUCAAAAAGAUAGUGAUUUUGGUGGUUUAAAAAAAAACCGAGUUGAGGGAAAUAUACGGGUCAAUCCUGAUUUGGGGAAGGGACCCACGUGAAGUUCUUCCACAAACCAGGAUAUUUCCCUUUGUCAACCUGUUAUAUUUCUACCGAGAAGAAUUGACCAAUGAUAUAAAAAGAGAGUCAUCCAGUAUUUCACUGUUUCCAUCAGGGAGAGUACCUGUUGAAAUUACCUUCUCCUUCAAGAAUACGAAGCUGAUAAUCAUACAGAUGAUUUAUAAUGUCUGUACCAGAUUCAUUAACAAAAUUUCUUCCUCCUCCAACAUCAUGCCAUGCUUUGAGAGGAAGAGGAGUGGAUAGGCAAGGUCACAGAUAAUUACAACACAGAUCUGUCUCACACAAACAGAUUUUGUGAAAAGUGCUGAAUACUGCAAUAAGGUAAAACCGGAAGACACUGUGAGGACAACCAUUUUAUUUUAUGUUUAGGUAACUGAAUACAAAAGGAUAGGAAGUAGACCUUUAUUUUGGAAUUUAUAUAUAUAUUAGAAUUUGCUAUUUUUCUUUUUGUUAAAGUUUCAUAUAUAUGUUAAUUAUCAUGGUCUUUUUCUUUAUU